UACGGGGGGGGCAAGCGUUGUUCGGAAUUACUGGGCGUAAAGGGCUCGUAGGUGGCCAACUAAGUCGGACGUGAAAUCCCUCAGCUUAACUGGGGAACUGCGUCCGAUACUGGAUGGCUUGAGUUUGGGAGAGGGAUGCAGAAUUCCAGGUGUAGCGGUGAAAUGCGUAGAUAUCUGGAGGAAUACCGGUGGCGAAGGCGGCAUCCUGGACCGACAUUGACGCUGAGGAGCGAAAGCUAGGGGAGCAAACGGG
rnacentral:rRNA from 1 species